rnacentral:rRNA from 1 species
GACAGAGGGUGCAAACGUUGUUCGGAAUUACUGGGCGUAAAGCGCACGUAGGUGGCUUGUUAAGUCGGGUGUGAAAUCCCUGGGCUCAACCCAGGAAGUGCACUCGAAACUGGCGAGCUUGAGUACUGAAGAGGGUCGCGGAAUUCCCGGUGUAGAGGUGAAAUUCGUAGAUAUCGGGAGGAACACCAGUGGCGAAGGCGGCGACCUGGGCAGAUACUGACACUGAGGUGCGAAAGCGUGGGAGCAAACAGG